rnacentral:rRNA from 1 species
GACGAACCGUGCGAACGUUAUUCGGAAUCACUGGGCUUAAAGCGCGUGUAGGCGGAAGGGCACGUCUGGUGCUGAAAUCCCCCGGCUCAACCGGGGAACGGGCACGGAUACGACUCUUCUGGAGGAACGUAGGGGGACCUGGAACUUCCGGUGGAGCGGUGAAAUGCGUUGAGAUCGGAAGGAACGCCCGUGGCGAAAGCGAGGUCCUGGACGUUUACUGACGCUGAGACGCGAAAGCCAGGGGAGCGAACGGG